rnacentral:rRNA from 1 species
AGUUUUGACCGGGUUGUAGCUGGCCUUCCGAGGCAUGUGCACGCCCUGCUCAUCCACUCUACACCUGUGCACUUACUGUGGGCUUCAGAUUGCGAGGCACGCUCUUUACCGGGCUUGCGGAGCAUAUCUGUGCCUGCGUUUAUCACAAACUCUAUAAAGUAACAGAAUGUGUAUUGCGAUGUAACACAUCUAUAUACAACUUUCAGCAACGGAUCUCUUGGCUCUCGCAUCGAUGAAGAACGCAGCGAAAUGCGAUAAGUAAUGUGAAUUGCAGAAUUCAGUGAAUCAUCGAAUCUUUGAACGCACCUUGCGCUCCUUGGUAUUCCGAGGAGCAUGCCUGUUUGAGUGUCAUGAAAUCUUCAACCUACAAGCUUUUGUGGUUUGUAGGCUUGGACUUGGAGGCUUGUCGGCCGUUAUCGGUCGGCUCCUCUUAAAUGCAUUAGCUUGGUUCCUUGCGGAUCGGCUCUCGGUGUGAUAAUGUCUACGCCGCGACCGUGAAGCGUUUGGCGAGCUUCUAACCGUCUUAUAAGACAGCUUUAUGACCUCUGACCUCAAAUCAGGUAGGACUACCCGCUGAACUU